ACACUUUUUCAUAUGCUUAUUAAGAGUUUUGAUUUCUUUAACUGAAAACUGCCUGUUCAUGUCCCUUGCCCAUUUAUCAAUUGUAGAAUGGCUUGAUUUUUUUGUACAAUUGAUUUAGCAAUUUGUAAAUUUGAGUAAUUAAACCUGUCAGAGGUUUUUAUGAAGAUUGUUUCCCAAUUUAUUGCUUCCCUUCUGAUUUUAGUUACAUUGGUUUUGUUUGUACAAAAACUUUUUAAUAUGAUGUAGUCAAAAUUAUUUUACAUUUUGUGACUCUUUCUAAGUCUUGCUUGCUUUUAAAAUCUUACCCUUUCCAAAGGUCUGACAUGUAUACUAUUCUGUGUUUACCUAAUUUACUUAUAGUUUCCUUCUUUAUGUUCAAGUCAUUGACCCAUUCUGAAUUUAUCUUGGUGUGGGGUGUGAGGUGUUGAUCCAAACCUAAUCUCUCCCACACUGUCUUCCAAUUUUCCCAGCAAUUUUUAUCAAAUAGUGGAUUUUGGUCCCAAAAGCUGGGAUCAUUGGGUUUGUCAUUUACUGUCUUGCUGAGGUCACUUGGCCCAAGUCUAUUCCACUGAUCCUCCUUUCUGUCUCUUAGCCAGUACCAAAUUGUUUUGAUAACCACUGCUUUAUAGUAUAGUUUGAGAUCUGGGACUGCAAGUCCUCCUUCCUUUGCAUUUCUUUUCAUGAUUUCCCUGGAUAUCCUUGAUCUUUUGUUCUUCCAAAUGAACUUAGUUAUGGUUUUUUCUCAGAUUUGCAUUUUAGAAAAUUAUUUGCUAAGUAAAUGGAGGAUGGAUUGAAGUAGGAAAAGACUUGAGGUAGAGAGCCAACCAGCAGGUUACAGCAGUAGUCUAAGAGUAAAAUGGCAGGGUCCUGCCUGAACCAGUGUCAGAGGAGAGAAAGGGGCAUUUGAGAAGUGUUAUAAAGAUAGAAAUGACCAUAUUUGACAAUGUAUUAGAGAACUUAAAUUAAACUGAACACAGAAAAAACCUUCAGCACCACAUGACAACUAAAGCAGCUGAUGAUCCUAGUUGUUAGGAGCUUGCAUUUGUGACAGAGGAGAAUGGAAGGAUUCCAGGUAAUGUUAGCAUCAGUGAAUGGCUUUAUAGCACUAACAAUCAGCUCCUCUUCUCCUUCCAGACCAUACAAUUCAGAGCUUGGGAAGUGGGAGCAGAGACUAUAAGAUUUCCACCAGUUAGAGGAAUCAACCUGAGAAGAAAAAUCCUUUUUCUUUAUUUUUUUUUUACUUUUUAUUUUCUUUAAAGACGAUUUUGACUCAGGCUCCCCAUUGAACCAAGAGGUCCAGGUUUCUAAAGAACAUACUACAAGGAAUGACAUAAAAUGUUACCAAAGCAUCACAGAGCCUCAGCCAUAGAGGAAACCUCAGAACUCAUCCAGUUCAACAGUACUUUGAGAACAAGAAUUGAUCAUACAACUUCCACUUGAAGAUGACUGAGGACAAGAAUUUAUUUUCUUGUGAAGCAACCCUUUAUCCUUCUGAAAUACAGCAUGUUAUAGUGGAUAGAAGGCUAGCCUCAAGAUCAGAAAGACCUGGGUUUAGUCCUCCUUACCACACAUACUGGUCAUCUCUCAGUAUUUUACACAUUUCCACAAGAAGUGGUUCAGUGUGUGUGGUCUAAGGACUCCUGUAGGUCCAGAGAUCCUUUCAGAGAGUGUGCAAGGAAUAGAUUCCAUAAGGCCAAAACUAUAUCUAUAAAAAUACUGAGGUGUUUUCAUUUCAAAUUGAUUUUAAUAUUGAUAGAUAUAACAAAUAUUAAUAAAAAGCUCUUUGUGGAAUCCUCAGUAUUUUUAAGAGUGUAAAGGAAAAAAAUUGAGAAGCAUUGCUCUAAGGCCAUAAGUAGAAGAGGUGUCCACCUCCAUUGGUUGAGAGCCCCUUAUCUGAGAGUCCCUUGUAUCCAUUAAAGGUCCUGAACCUACUCCAACCCUACUGAGAUGAAACCUCCAUCUCUAUAGUUUCCUCUCAUUGUUCCUAGUUCCAAAGAAAUGUCAUCCCUCUUUCACAUGGCAGUUAUUCAAAUAUUUGCAGAUGGCCAUCAUUAGGCAAUAUUGUAGAGUGGUAAUAAUCCCACAUUUGACAUCAGAAAACCUGAUUCUGGGUCCCAGCUUUACCACCUAUUAACUCUGUGAGCAUGAUCAAAUACUUUCCUUCAAGGGCUUCAAGAUUCCAUCUAGUGUUAAGUCCUGAUAUUAUAUUCUCCCUUUACUAAAGUCUUGGAUCCAAGGCCACUUCAUGGAAAGGAUGCAUCCCUGGGUUCUUUUUAGAAGGUUCCAACAACACUAGUGCAACAUCAGCUUGAGUUGGGACCCGCCAAGCUGGAAAGAACUGACAUUUAUAUGUGGGAAUCUCCAAGCUGACCACAGGAUAAUGGAUGUUUCUAUUUGUCAUAGCAUUUCUGGAAGGUCAUCUACUAAAUAACAGAAAGGUCACAUGGAUUAAAUCAUGGAUAUCUGCAGUAUUUUAGGUUUUCUAGUUUAAGUCUCUUGUAUUUUAGCUCUUAGGGUGGUCCACUUGAACCUUUUCCAUCAAACUGUGAAGUAGGGGGAAAGGGGGAUGGGGGUAUUUAACAGGGUCAUAGUUUUCUUGAGGAGAAUCAAAGCCUUAUUUAAGGACAUUGGAGAGACAAUAGAGGAUCUGCAAGGGCCAGCAAAGCACAAAACAAAGCAGCAGCAACAGUGAUAUCAAUGAACACCUAUCACUCUGAACCAUUGAGGCACCUUCUGGCCAAGGGCUCUCAGAAUGGGCCCUCUCCCUCUUCUUGUAUGGGAACUGAUAAGAAAGUGUACAUCAUGUGUGGGUCAUAUAUCAUUUUAUUUGUGGACAUUUUGAAUUCAGAUGUCCUCUGGUUGCCUAGAAAAUGUAAAUCUAUCAAUGUGAGCUCCAGUGUUGCCCUGCCCCCUCCAUUCCAGGGACUGCUUUGAAAAUGAGGUCACUUUUCUAGGGGCCCAACAUAAAUUAAUGUGCCCCAGGAGUUGUAUUUAGAAAACUUCUAGAAUAGUCCUAUGUUUAUUUCCCAAGCAGCAGGAUACAGAAGUUGGGAUCUGUAUCCAGUUCCUUAGACAUACAUCUAUGUAAGAUCACUGAUGAGGAACAUUUUCUAUAGUGCUUUUAAAGCUUGCAAAGUGCUUUGAAUAUGGAACACUUAGACUUUUACAAAAGCGAUUUACUUCAAAAGGUAUAAUGCCAAGGAUAUAAAUAUACUCUCCCCAACCGGUGGGAGGCACCUCAGCCACUGGGGAGGAAAGAGAAAUCAGCUAUACGGUAAGAUUAUUAACAAUAACGGGCAUUUUAUAUGGUGCUUUUAACGUGUGCAAAGGGCCUUGCAAAUGGAGCACUCGAGCUUUUGCCUCCCCCCCAAAAAAAAAAAAACACAACAACAACAACAAAAACUUUCCUUAAUAAGGUCUACUCCCAAGGAAAUUAAUUUACUCACCCCACUGCGUGGAAGGCAUAAUCUUUCCCACCACCUCAGAGGGGAGCCAAAAGAAUUCGCUGUAUAGUUAAACUCGGUUCCAGAGCAGUUAAAGAGGACAAUUUGAGUUCCAAGGCCACAACGUCCCUGGGGCUCCAUUCUCAGACACCUCUGCUUCUCAGAGGCUCGUUGCUGCCCCACCCGGCCUGCAAUACCUGCUCCAAGGCCACCUCUGCCCAAACUCCCACUUCUGACCCUUAGAAACUGGGGUUUGAAACAAACACCCCCAGGGUCAAUUCCUCGAAACCACACGGGUGGGGCGGGAAAGGAGGGAGGCACUGAGGCAAAAAAGGGUACAGCAUCACAAGUUUCAAGAGACUCGGGCUGGCAGCCAAUCAAAGACAGCCCCCUCAGCCACGUGAUAGGAAUAGAGCGUGCUCCACGUGGAAACGAAGAGGGCAUGCUCAAAAGCCAAAUUACACACACUUGUAGCAAAGUGGGGGAAGCUCCUGUAAACCGGGUCCUCCCCCAUUGAAAGGUUGUAUCUUUUAUUUUACCCUCCGUCAGUUUUGGUGUCCCUCACUGUUCUGCCUACCACCACCACCUUUCCUCCCCUGCUCCCCUCCUCCCCCACCCCAAAAGUCCUGUUGGCAAAGAUGUGCUGCCUUGUCUAGGUGCCAUUACCAAAAAAUCAUGUGGAUCUAGAGAGCUUUCCAGAGUGCUGCAGAGUUCAGGCCCAGCAUCCAGAUGGUGAAGAUUGAUGGUUGGAGCUGGAGACUCUUUAUUGCCUCAGUUCUUCUAGGACUGGAGCUAUACUCUGAAUUGGAGGCCAACAGAGGUGGAAGAAAGGGAAGUCUGGGGAGCUAGCUUUGAAUAGAGAAAAAUCUCUGGGAGUUUAGCGUCAGAAGGCAUUAUGGACCUACAAACUUCCUUCCUGGUACUUAUUUUUAAUUUUUUAAAAACAAAAACAAUUUUUAUCUGUAAGAUGGUUUUUGUCCUUAACUAAAAUAAUGUUUUUUUUAAUUGAGAAACUGUCUUAAAGUCAAAAUAAGGUAUAUAGGCACACUGAUAUGAAACUUGAGAGAUACAAUCAAAUAGUGAAGACUUUCUUCAUUGCCAAGCAUUGGAGUAUUAAGAAACAUUAAAUAUAUCUGACUGAAUUUUUCAGUAUUCCACUGGAUAUUUUUAAUU